rnacentral:rRNA from 1 species
CCUACGGGAGGCAGCAGUGAGGAAUAUUGGUCAAUGGGCGAGAGCCUGAACCAGCCAAGUCGCGUGAAGGAUGACGGCCCUACGGGUUGUAAACUUCUUUUGUCCGGGAGCAAUUGGGUCCACGCGUGGGCUUCUCGAGAGUACCUGCAGAAAAAGCAUCGGCAAACUCCGUGCCAGCAGCCGCGGUAAUACGGAGGAUGCGAGCGUUAUCCGGUUUUAUUGGGUUUAAAGGGUGCGUAGGCGGAAUAUCAAGUCAGCGGUAAAAAUUCGGGGCUCAACCCCGUAGUGCCGUUGAAACUGAUGGUCUUGAGUGGGCGAGAAGUAUGCGGAAUGUGUGGUGUAGCGGUGAAAUGCAUAGAUAUCACGCAGAACUCCGAUUGCGAAGGCAGCAUACCGGCGCCCAACUGACGCUGAAGCACGAAAGCGUGGGUAUCGAACAGGAUUAGAUACCCCAGUAGUC